rnacentral:rRNA from 1 species
GACGAACCGUGUGAACGUUAUUCGGAAUCACUGGGCUUAAAGCGCGUGUAGGCGGGUGGGAACGUCGGCCACUGAAAGCCCCCGGCUCAACCGGGGAAGGGGUGCCGAAACGGCCCGCCUGGAGGGGCGUAGGGGGACCUGGAACUUCCGGUGGAGCGGUGAAAUGCGUUGAGAUCGGAAGGAACGCCCGUGGCGAAAGCGACUACCUGGACCAGCACUGACACUGAUGGCACGAA